AGCAGCAUAGUUGUAAUGGUGGAGGGCACUGUGUAGCUAGAUAAAAUGCCACACAUAGCACUCUUCUAUGAAAUAUGCGCAGAUGAUGGCAACUCAUCGAAUUUAAUUCCGAUGCCUGCCUUCAUCAACAGCUGUCCAGUGCGGAUAUGGUGACGUUCGAGUUACAAACUCAUCUCUUGCUGUCCUUCAAUACAUCAUAACAAAUGCAACUUCUCUCCUGCUUCUUUGGGCCGACAGAAAGAGCCACUCCCUUUCAAGGUUAAUGACAACAACAACAUCAUCAUCAUCUCAAGAUAAAGUUGUUGUUGGGUAGAUGGCACAAAGAUAUUACUGGAGACUUUAGAAUGCUACUUGACUGACAUGCUAUCCUAAAAAGCAGCGUGUGCUUUUUUCACUCAUCCUCCAUCAUGCUCUUUUUCACUAAUGACUGCCCUCGUGUAAGGACGUUCUGCUGGGUUAGGGCACUGAUUGACUUUCUAGAUUUGGCUUUGUACUCAGCCAAUGAGGCUGCCAAGAUCCCCUGCAUGUGCCAGCUGGCACAUCUACA